GCGAUUACAGUAAAUAAAAUCAUUAAUUGCUGAACUUUGUAGUGUGUGCUUAGAUUGUUUUCGGUUCACAAGUUUCUAUAACGCAUUGAAUUGUCACUCAGAACCGUUAGAUAACUUAUGUAUGUAUACCACAAAUUUUAUCGUGUAACCUUUCCCAAAAACGUCGUUCAAUACGGAUAGCGAGGACAUCAUAUUAUUGAAAUCACUAUAGACUGGAUAAUUGGUCCCUCGAGAUUUGCAUACGCGGCAUUGAUUUUAUG